GGCUUACCAAGGCGACGAUCAGUAGCCGACCUGAGAGGGUGAUCGGCCACAUUGGAACUGAGACACGGUCCAAACUCCUACGGGAGGCAGCAGUGGGGAAUAUUGCACAAUGGGCGAAAGCCUGAUGCAGCAACGCCGCGUGAGUGAUGAAGGCCUUCGGGUCGUAAAACUCUGUCCUCAAGGAAGAUAAUGACGGUACUUGAGGAGGAAGCCCCGGCUAACUACGUGCCAGCAGCCGCGGUAAUACGUAGGGGGCUAGCGUUAUCCGGAUUUACUGGGCGUAAAGGGUGCGUAGGCGGUCUUUCAAGUCAGGAGUGAAAGGCUACGGCUCAACCGUAGUAAGCGCUUGAAACUGGGAGACUUGAGUGCAGGAGAGGAGAGUGGAAUUCCUAGUGUAGCGGUGAAAUGCGUAGAUAUUAGGAGGAACACCAGUUGCGAAGGCGGCUCUCUGGACUGUAACUGACGCUGAGGCACGAAAGCGUGGGGAGCAAACAGGAUUAGAUACCCUGGUAGUCCACGCUGUAAACGAUGAGUACUAGGUGUCGGGGGUUACCCCCCUCGGUGCCGCAGCUAAC
rnacentral:rRNA from 1 species